rnacentral:sRNA from 1 species
AGCCGCAUUGGUUUGACUGGGAAACUCAUCAAGUAAAUCAGAAAACCGAGACCAGCUUCGCUCCUUAAUGGCGGGCCACACCUUCGGGUAGCAUUUAUGCCGGUGGAUUACAAAGAGGACGAGCACUCAAAAAGUGUCAUUCGGAGUUUCAUCACAUCUAUACCGAUGCGGCUUUUU